rnacentral:piRNA from 2 species
UAGUUCAAAUACCUGAAAAUCUUAUGACCAC